UUGAUGAAAAUGGAGGAGAAUAUAAUGUACUUUGGAGAAAAUAGAGGACUUACCCUGCCCUCCUUACUGCUUCUGACUACCUUAUAGUGCUUUUUCUCCUCCCCACUUUCUCUGAAGCUUUUGGUUCCCCCCUUGCAGAAUGUGUUGCAGACAGCAAGGACUUGGCCAACCUUACAACAGAAUAUCUGGACUCCAAAGACCCAAAGCCUUCCUUCAGCCAUCCACCAUUGAAAAGCAGGGGUUCCAAUCACUUCCCAGCUGUGUGGCCUUGAUCGAGAUGCUUACCUAAGGCAUUUUGAACCUAUGUUCUCAUCUGCAGCAUGAGUGUGCCAUCCGCUUCACAGAGUUCAUCAACAGGUUGAGCAUUUACUACUAUGCACUAGGCACUCCUCUUCUCGGUGCUGGGGUAAAUGGUGAUGAACAGGACAGACAAGGUCUUUUGUCAUAGAAUUUACACACAUUUGGGAGGAGCCAGACGCAAAAACAAGAUCAUUUCAGAUAGUAAAAUGUACUGAAAAACAGGUUGGUGAGACAGAAAAGUGGGUGAGAGGUACCUUUUUUAGAUAGAGUGUCAAAGAGGGCCUCAUAAGGGUGGUAACGUUCUAAGACCUGAGAAAUAAUGUGGAGCUGGCCAUGUGAGGGUAGGGCCCUGAGUGCUCCAGGCCGAGGCAGCUGCAAGUGUGGGUGUCUAAGCGGGGACAAGCUUGGUGUGUUGAGGACUGGGAAGCAGUAUGGCUGAGUGCAGUGAGGAAAGAAAGUGUGGCAGGAGAUGAGAUUAGGCAGAACGUGACAUUUUAAGCAGACUACCUGAUGUAGUUUCAGAUCCCUGGCCACUGUGCAGAGAGAAUGGGAGAGGGGUAAGAGGAGAAGCUGGGAAACUAGUUAAGAGGUUCUUGGCUGUGAAGGUUAAGUGGGAUCAUUUAAGUAAAGCAUCUAGCAUAGCCCCAAGUACCUAGCAGCCCCCUGAUAAAUAAUUCAACCUCUCCUCUCAUCAUUUUCUCGGAUUUUGUGAUUCCUUUCCCCACGAGAGAGGCUAGGUAUUCACCCUAAGAUUACCUUCACUUGACCUCUCUUAAACAGAUCCAGCCAGAUCAGGACAUAGCGGCCCUGUUGCUCUCAGCUGGAAGUUGUGUAGACUACAUAAGCAUUCUUCUGUAUCUCCAGUUCGCUGCCACCCCCUGCUACCCCUACCUGCUGCACUGCAGGGUGUUAAAAGGUGUUUGGGGAAAGGAGUCAUGUGGGCAAGUGAGCUGGGAAACACUG
rnacentral:lncRNA from 1 species